rnacentral:lncRNA from 1 species
UCACAAGUUAGCCCUGUUGUAACUAAAAUGAACACUCUUCUUACCUAUUAUUUUAAUUAGAAAGUCACCAAAAGAGAAAAAGAACUAAUUCUUGACUAUGUUAAUUUCAUUUUCAAAGCAGAACCACAGAAGAGAAAUACAUGUCUAAAACUGGGUCAUGUGACUCUGGAGUCCUCAAUUUUACAUCCCUGACUUGGAAGAUGACUGACAUCUGCCAGAACAGCUCUAUUGAAGCCGUAUUUUCCUUGCUCAUACAGGCAAGGACUAUGACUGUCCAGACUCAAACAGAACUUUAACCCCACCAUUCACUUCAGAAUGGAGGCCAACUUGGUCUGCACAAACCUCUGGCUGAGCUGACUGGCAGCAGAGCUAAGCUGAGCUCAUGCUUCAUCCCUGGACUCCCAGGCUACACUACUCUGUCUUGGCGUCUGCUCUGUCAUGGGAAAGGCAUAUUUAUCAUAGACAAUUGGUGGACUCUCCACCAAAGGACCUACCUAAGGUAUCAACAAUACCCUAAUGGCACACAAAUCCUUGCCAGCCAACAUUCAGGUUUGGAACAAUGCCAAGGCCAUCCUUUGGAGCUUGUAAUGCCCUGUGGGGCAUGGCUGUUCUGCUAGGUAUGCUUCUCUGCUUUAUUGAGAUAAGCACUUGCUCUCAGAGACCUAAAGGAGGAUGUGCAGGUAUGUUUAAUAAGGGCAGUUUGAACCCAAACUAUAGGCAGAGUACCCUUUCAGUCCAUUCUGCACUUCUAGCAUCUGGUAGUCCCAUUCUUGCAAGCCCCUAGCCUCUCACUUCUCACCCUUCUUGCCCACAACAACUAUCUGAGACCCCUACCUCUGGUUUGAUUGCCACCAACCAUGGAAUUAUAAGGAUAAGCCAUCCCAGGAAACUGUAUCAGCAAAAACAAAAACAAAAACAAAAACAAAAACAAAAAACACUGGAAAUGAUGACUUCUCUCUGGGAUAUGACAGUGAUGGGGAGUGGGUGGGUUAACUCGCUUACAGGGGUUGCUCAGAGUCAGACACUUCAAGGUCCUAGAAGGCUGCUUUUAAAAUCAAAUAAAGAGCCAUAUAAACCAUCAGAGUCCAUAUGUGAUUGUGGAAGCAGCAGGAAGCAGCUUCAUCCACCACCACAGAUUUGGAGAUCAACAAGUCAGACUCUCAAUCAUCAAGUUCCACACAAAACUGAAAGACCUACAGACAGUCUUCUGCCUGAGUUAAUUUGUCCUUUGACCACACACUUCAGUGAAAAGCCACUCUGUAUAACCAUAUCCUUUGAGCAUUUUGAUAGGGUUUUUAUCUAGUGGGUUUUGUUUUAAAAGCACAGCUCAGGAGUGAGCUAGAUUUGGGGUAAAAAUUUCAAGCAUGAUUUACCAAGAUGAUAGACACAUCUAUAAUUCUUUUCACCACAACUCUCCUCAUCCCUGGGCCUUAGAUUCCACCUUAUCCACAAUUAGAGGAAAGAGACCAGUGGAAUAGCUCCACAAAAACUCUUGCCAUGUAAACUGACAAUCUGAGUUAAAUCCCCAGGACCCACAUAAAAAGCAGAAGGAGCGAACCUUAAGGUUGCUUUCUGUGAUAGUUUGAAAGAGAAAGGCCCCUCCCACCCCAAAGGACAUAUAAGAAAGACGUUUUCCUUUUCCUUGCUUGCUUUCACUCCUGCUGGGAAGUUCGUCUGUCUUAUUGCAGCAGCAUCCCUGCACUGCUAUUAAAUAUGGUUUCUUUGGUCUAACAAUGUAAACUGAAGACCAGCAAUGCCAAGGAAUCCUCCAGGAUUCUUUUGCAACUGGAUUGGAACUUCUAAGACACACAGCUUUGUGGACUGAACAGCUAUCAUGUUGGUGGCCUCUCUGGUAUGAAAGUUUACUGAGGAAUUAAGUCACUGGGGUGAGCUUUGAGAGUUUGUUGCCUCCCCCCACUUCCAGUUCACUCUAUUUGCUUCCUAUAGGGACAGAGAUGUGAUCCUUCAGCUUCGUUCUCCUGCCAGAAUGCCACCUCUUAUCACCAUGCCUACCCUCCAGGAUAGACUCUUAUCCUUUUGGAACCAUAAACCAAAGAAAUGCUUCCGUGUCUAAGUUGCUAUUGGUUAUGGUAUUUUAUCACAAGAACAGAAAAGUAACUGAGCCACAAAUUGGGAUGAAAUAGAGGAGAUAUUUCUGUCAAGACCUAACUGUGUUGAGGUUUGGUUUUGUAAGAAUGCACUAGAAGUUAGAGGCUUCGGAAGAAAACAAGAACUGUAACAGUACUUCAAGAAAGAGGCCGUUCUUUAAUAUUUUGGCCAAGAAUCCAGUGACCUUCUACCCAUGAACUUGCCUGAAACUAACUAAAAUGUAAUGGACUAAUCUCUUUGGCAGAAAAAAAAUAUAUAAAAACAUCUGAACACUGAGUCUCUGGAAUGGUUAUUAUUAAUAACUCUUAUGCAAGUUUACAACGACAAAGAGCAAGGGGGCAAAAGUAGAAAAUGUCCAGUCUACAGAGAAAAUGAGUACCAGGAAGCAUGCAAUUACAGUCAAGGCAUGCACUGAAGAUGGAUUGCAGUUGUUUAGGAGAUUAGCAUUGGCAAAUAGAGGUGUCCUACUCUGAACUGAAACAAAAGAGAGGAUGCCUAACUUCAAGGUAAGAUCAAACCAACCCAGCUAAGCUUCCAACUUG